ensembl:snRNA U6 U6 spliceosomal RNA
GAGCUUUUUUGUCCUGCAGCACAUAUACUAAAAAUGGAAUGAUACAGAGAAGAUUAGCAUGGCCCCUGCCCAAGGAUGACACGCAAAUUCGUGAAGUGUUCCAUAUUUUU